UACGUAGGGGGCUAGCGUUGCUCGGAAUCACUGGGCGUAAAGGGUGCGUAGGCGGGUCUUUAAGUCAGGGGUGAAAUCCUGGAGCUCAACUCCAGAACUGCCUUUGAUACUGAAGAUCUUGAGUUCGGGAGAGGUGAGUGGAACUGCGAGUGUAGAGGUGAAAUUCGUAGAUAUUGGGAAGAACACCGGUGGCGAAGGCGGCUCACUGGCUCAUUACUGACGCUCAGGCGCGAUAGCGUGGGGAUCAAACAGG
rnacentral:rRNA from 1 species